rfam:Caenorhabditis brenneri strain PB2801 C_brenneri-6.0.1_Cont1908.2, whole genome shotgun sequence.
CCAACGGCCCUCUUUAGGGCCACAAAUACCUCAAUAAUCCUGAAUU